UUUAAAGAGAGUUUGAUCCUGGCUCAGGACGAACGCUGGCGGCGUGCCUAAUACAUGCAAGUCGAACGAACGGA
rnacentral:rRNA from 1 species